CCACAGCAGGGCACUGUCCCCGUCCCUCGCAGGCGGUGCUGGCCGAUGACCCCGGGUCCCCGACGGAGGCUCUGAGGCUCCCCUGCCGCAGCCUCUCGCCUGCUGCAGCUGCGGCCACGCUGGGGGCUGUGCACGGAGCCCUGCGGCGCCGGCACUUCCAGCUGCAGGAGGCCCGGGAGGUGUCGGGGAGCCUGCGGCGGGAGCUGGGGGACAGCGAGAGCCGGCGGGCGGCCCUGGAGCAGCGGCUGGAGCAGCUCAGCGCCGAGGCUGGGGGCUGCCGGCGGGCGCAGGACGAGGCCGUGCGCGAGGCCGCCCGCCUGCGCACCGACAUCGAGCUCCUGCGCAGCGAGCGGGGCCGCGUGGAGCAGGCGCUGGCGGCGGAGCAGGCGCGGGCGGGGGUCCUGCAGCGCAGCGAGGCCGAGCUGCAGCGCCGCAGCCGGGGGCUGGAGGAGCAGCGGGACGAGGCCGCCCGUGCCGCCGAGGCUGCGCGCCAGCAGCUGGAGCACAGUGGGUGCCCCCUCCCAAUUUGUGCCCCCCCGUGGGUGCCCGCAGCCAGCAGCAGCUGGAG
rnacentral:lncRNA from 1 species